rnacentral:rRNA from 1 species
GAGUUUGAUCAUGGCUCAGAACGUACGCUGGCGGCACGCCUAACACAUGCAAGUCGAACGAAGUAGCAAUACUUAGUGGCAGACGGGUGAGUAACAUGUAGGUAUCUGCCCUUUGGCCUGGAAUAACACGAGGAAACUUGUGCUAAUACCGGAUAAGUCUUUACGGAGAAAGCUUUAUGCACCAUUGGAUGAGCCUGCACUUGAUUAGUUUGUUGGUGGGGUAAUGGCCUACCAAGACUGUGAUCAAUAGCUGAUUUGAGAGGAUGAUCAGCCACAUUGGGACUGAGACACGGCCCAAACUCCUACGGGAGGCAGCAGUGGGGAAUCUUGCACAAUGGAGGAAACUCUGAUGCAGCGAUGCCGCGUGAGUGAAGAAGGCCCUUGGGUUGUAAAGCUCUUUCGUCGGGGAAGAAAAUGACUGUACCCGAAUAAGAAGGUCCGGCUAACUUCGUGCCAGCAGCCGCGGUAAUACGAAGGGACCUAGCGUAGUUCGGAAUUACUGGGCUUAAAGAGUUCGUAGGUGGUUGAAAUAGUUGGUGGUGAAAUCCCAGAGCUUAACUCUGGAACUGCCAUCAAAACUUUUCAGCUAGAGUAUGAUAGAGGAAAGCAGAAUUUCUAGUGUAGAGGUGAAAUUCGUAGAUAUUAGAAAGAAUACCAAUUGCGAAGGCAGCUUUCUGGAUCAUUACUGACACUGAGGAACGAAAGCAUGGGUAGCGAAGAGGAUUAGAUACCCUCGUAGUCCGUGCCGUAAACGAUGUGUGUUAGACGUUGGAAAUUUAUUUUCAGUGUCGCAGCGAAAGCGAUAAACACACCGCCUGGGGAGUAC